UUGAUCCUGGCUCAGGACGAACGCUGGCGGCGUGCUUAACACAUGCAAGUCGAACGAUGAAGCCCUUCGGGGUGGAUUAGUGGCGAACGGGUGAGUAACACGUGGGCAAUCUGCCCUUCACUCUGGGACAAGCCCUGGAAACGGGGUCUAAUACCGGAUAACACUCUGUCCCGCAUGGGACGGGGUUGAAAGCUCCGGCGGUGAAGGAUGAGCCCGCGGCCUAUCAGCUUGUUGGUGGGGUGAUGGCCUACCAAGGCGACGACGGGUAGCCGGCCUGAGAGGGCGACCGGCCACACUGGGACUGAGACACGGCCCAGACUCCUACGGGAGGCAGCAGUGGGGAAUAUUGCACAAUGGGCGAAAGCCUGAUGCAGCGACGCCGCGUGAGGGAUGACGGCCUUCGGGUUGUAAACCUCUUUCAGCAGGGAAGAAGCGAGAGUGACGGUACCUGCAGAAGAAGCGCCGGCUAACUACGUGCCAGCAGCCGCGGUAAUACGUAGGGCGCAAGCGUUGUCCGGAAUUAUUGGGCGUAAAGAGCUCGUAGGCGGCUUGUCGCGUCGGAUGUGAAAGCCCGGGGCUUAACCCCGGGUCUGCAUUCGAUACGGGCAGGCUAGAGUGUGGUAGGGGAGAUCGGAAUUCCUGGUGUAGCGGUGAAAUGCGCAGAUAUCAGGAGGAACACCGGUGGCGAAGGCGGAUCUCUGGGCCAUUACUGA
rnacentral:rRNA from 1 species